AGCCAACUAUGUGAAUAAUGACCACAGUUUGAAUAUUCAACGUAUGUUUUUAAGGUGUUGGAUCAAUGCCAUAAUCAACUUUUGUUUGUUAAUAUAAUACUAAACCUGAGAAUUUUCUUUUUUUAAAGGGCUAAGGUACAGGUCAUUGGACAUAGCAAGAACAGGAUUCCACUGGACGAGAGGCAGGGGGAGGAAUGGAGAUCAGAAGUCAAGUCUCAGAUGAUUGAGGAACACUGCAUACAUUUUUUGUUGCAAGGAUGUUGGUGGAUAGCUCUUCUCUCUCUACCUCACUUGCUCAGCCUUACACAUUUUUGCUUUUCUCUCUCUGCCUCUCGUUUCCACUCUCAGUGUAGUGCCAGCUUUUCUGUCAGAACAUUUGUGGUUGUUAUGGUGACGGUUACAAAGAGCUGACUAGAUUGUGGCCGAAAGUGGAAAGGAGAGAUGAGUGAUGGGCUGAAUCAGACAGCGGUAUAUGAAAAGAUUGAAGUGGAUAUGGAAGACAACAGGUGAACUAGCAAAAUUCUGUGGAAGGAAGGUCUUUGGAUUUGCGAUAUAGCCAUUAACAAAAGAGGAAGGCUUUGGACCUGGAGGAAUAGAGGGGAAUGUUAAAAAUAUAUUCGGGGAGUGCUCCUGGCAUUCUUAAAUUGUUGCAUCUUUUUGCUGUUACUAUGGCAACCAAGUGAAUUAUUGUUACGUAACCUACCCUGUUGUCAGGCAUCUAGAACAUUCCACUUCAUUUUGGGAAAGGGGAGGAAGGAUUUUUUUGUUGUUGUAAACUGCACUGUUGUUGUAAAACGCACUGAUCAAGAAUAGAAGUGUUCCCUUUUUACCACAGUUUUGAUAUAGUGCAUGUAUCAAAUGUAUGCUUCCAUUGAUGGUCUCAACUGAAUGCUGAAUUCCAGCAUAUUGCCACUAUUAUAGCACCUCUACCAAUUUAUUUAUAACAGAACUAUUCAAGUUUAUUUAGUUAUACUAGUUCUACAAUCUCCACUACUACUACUUAGUCUACUGCUAUACCUACUAGUGUUACUCUUUGGACAUUCCACAAAUUCGGUGCCGGCCUUUGUGAAGUAAUAUCUUGUCAUUAUAGAGCCUAUGUCCAACUUCAUAAACACAUGUUUUUAAUCCCAAUAUUUUAAAUAAAAAUUAUCUAAAGUGUCUAUUAAAUCUGGGAUCUUAAAUUUUUGACAGAACACUGGGAUGAGUCAGGACAAAAAUUUAACUGCUCUCAAAUGUAUAGACAGAGCUAUGAAAAACCAGGCAAUAUUGUAGUUUUGAACCUAUACAGUGUUUGUUUACUUUGACAUUGUUUCCAAAGAAGUAAACAAUUUGGGUUUCUGAUAGGGUACGAAAGAACUCAGGCAUUUUUUACUAUUUAUAUAAUUCAAUUACAAGUCCAAAAAGUAUUGUAACAACUAAAGAUCCCAGUUUUCCGUUCCAAAUAAAGUAACAAAGUUGUCCUUUGAAGAGCUUAGAAUAUCAUCAUAAAAAUCUGAUUAUGUGCAGAGAGGCAAGCUUCACAAAAAAGGUGUUCACAGAUGUCCGACCUGGCUACAUUUGGGGGAAAAAGGAUGAUGUGUUAUGCUUGAACCGCUUAGACCUAAACCACAAAAAGCCAGCAACUGGUCAAAAAUAGUAUAUCCAGCUCUGCUUUUGGUAGUUACAUUUAGAAUUUUUCAACUUUAACAAGUCUUUAUAUAACAAUCAGCUUCAGCAAAUUAUUAAUAAUGCAGUCUAUAUUAAUACAACAGACUUUUUUUUUUUAUUCAUCGUUUUUAAAAUAACAUGGCUAAGCAAAUGGCAUGCAUAUGUUACUAAUUAUUAUUGUGUUUUUAUAUUUUACCAUUGGUUUCAUAUUUUCAUUUCAUUGCUUUUUACUACUACCCUUUAUAUAACAUAAAUAUUUUCUACUUAUUUAUAAUCAUUAUA
ensembl:lncRNA